AUAGCAUCUAUACUGUGAAACUGCGAAUGGCUCAUUAAAUCAGUUAUCGUUUAUUUGAUAGUACCUCACUACAUGGAUAACCGUGGUAAUUCUAGAGCUAAUACAUGCUAAAAACCCCGACUUCGGGAGGGGUGUAUUUAUUAGACAAAAAACCAAUGCCCUUCGGGGCUCCUUGGUGAAUCAUGAUAACUUAACGAAUCGCAUGGCCUUGCGCCGGCGAUGGUUCAUUCAAAUUUCUGCCCUAUCAACUUUCGAUGGUAGGAUAGUGGCCUACCAUGGUAUCAACGGGUAACGGGGAAUUAGGGUUCUAUUCCGGAGAGGGAGCCUGAGAAACGGCUACCACAUCCAAGGAAGGCAGCAGGCGCGCAAAUUACCCAAUCCCGACACGGGGAGGUAGUGACAAUAAAUACUGAUACAGGGCUCUUUUGGGUCUUGUAAUUGGAAUGAGUACAAUUUAAAUACCUUAACGAGGAACAAUUGGAGGGCAAGUCUGGUGCCAGCAGCCGCGGUAAUUCCAGCUCCAAUAGCGUAUAUUAAAGUUGUUGCAGUUAAAAAGCUCGUAGUUGAACCUUGGGCCUGGCUGGCCGGUCUGCCUCACCGCAUGUACUGGUUCGGCCGGGCCUUUCCUCCUGGGGAUCCGCAUGCCCUUCACUGGGUGUGUUGGGGAACCAGGACUUUUACUUUGAAAAAAUUAGAGUGUUCAAAGCAGGCCUUUGCUCGAAUACAUUAGCAUGGAAUAAUAGAAUAGGACGUGCGGUUCUAUUUUGUUGGUUUCUAGGACCGCCGUAAUGAUUAAUAGGGAUAGUCGGGGGCAUCAGUAUUCAGUUGUCAGAGGUGAAAUUCUUGGAUUUACUGAAGACUAACUACUGCGAAAGCAUUUGCCAAGGAUGUUUUCAUUAAUCAGUGAACGAAAGUUAGGGGAUCGAAGACGAUCAGAUACCGUCGUAGUCUUAACCGUAAACUAUGCCGACUAGGGAUCGGGCGAUGUUAUUCUUUUGACUCGCUCGGCACCUUACGAGAAAUCAAAGU
rnacentral:rRNA from 1 species